AAGUGAGACCCUGUCUCAAAAAGUAAAAUAAAACAAUAAAAUGAAGAGCCUCUGAUAUAGGCUGAAUUAUGUCCCUCGCAAAUUCAUAUGUUGAAGUCCUAACCCCUAAUUCCUCUGAGUGUGACUGUAUUUGGAAAUACGGUCUUUAAAAGAGACGAUUAAAUUAAAAUGAAGUUAUUAGGUUGGGCCCUAAUCCAAUAUGCCUGAUGUCCUUAUAAGAAGAGGAGAUUAGGACACAGACACGCACAGAGGGACGACCAUGUGAGGACGUAGGGAGAAGACGGCAUCUACAAGCUAAGGAGAGAGGCCUCAGGAGGAACCAGCCCUUCCCACUCCUUGAUCUCGAACUCCAGUCUCCAGAACUACUUCUAGAUUGGGAAACGAAGCUCUGCUGGGCGUGGUGGCUCACACCUGUGAGUGGCUCCCAGCACUUUGAGAGGCCGAGGAGGGAGGACUGCUUGAAGCCAGAAGUUCAAGACCAGCCUGCACAUCACGAGACCCGCCCUCCCCCCACCAAUC
rnacentral:lncRNA from 1 species